rfam:Nitrosomonas europaea ATCC 19718, complete genome
GCGAAAGUGGCGGAAUUGGUAGACGCACCAGAUUUAGGUUCUGGCGCCGAUGAGGUGUGGGGGUUCGAGUCCCCCCUUUCGCA